GAUCAUGGCUCAGGAUGAACGCUGGCGGCGUGCCUAAUACAUGCAAGUCGAACGAGAGUGCUUGCACUCUAGUGGCGAACGGGUGAGUAACACGUAGGUAACCUGCCUUACAGUUGGGAUACCCUGGCGAAAGCUAGGCUAAUACCGAAUAAUUGGAUUGGAGGCAUCUCCGAUCUCUAAAAGGGGCCUUUAAAGCCUCGCUGAAUGAUGGACCUGCGGCGCAUUAGCUAGUUGGUGAGAUAACAGCCCACCAAGGCGAGGAUGCGUAGCCGACCUGAGAGGGUGAACGGCCACACUGGAACUGAGACACGGUCCAGACUCCUACGGGAGGCAGCAGUAGGGAGUUUUCGGCAAUGGGGGCAACCCUGACCGAGCAACGCCGCGUGAAUGAUGAAGGUCUUCGGAUUGUAAAGUUCUGUUAUAAGGGAAAAAUGAUAUGGUGAGGAAAUGCUCCAUAUUUGAUGGUACCUUAUUAGAAAGCCACGGCUAACUACGUGCCAGCCGCCGC
rnacentral:rRNA from 1 species